rnacentral:misc_RNA from 1 species
GAUGAAGAACGUAGCGAAAUGCGAUAAGUAAUGUGAAUUGCAGAAUUCAGUGAAUCAUCGAAUCUUUGAACGCACAUUGCGCCCGUCAGUAUUCUGGCGGGCAUGCCUGUUCGAGCGUCAUUACGCCCCUCAAGUCCCCUGUGGACUUGGUGUUGGGGAUCGGCGAGGCUGGUUUUCCAGCACAGCCGUCCCUUAAAUUAAUUGGCGGUCUCGCCGUGGCCCUCCUCUGCGCAGUAGUAAAACACUCGCAAUAGGAGCCCGGCGCGGUCCACUGCCGUAAAACCCCCCAACUUUUUAUAGUUGACCUCGAAUCAGGUAGGACUACCCGCUGAACUUAAGCAUAUCAAUAAGCGGAGGA